GUACCUACUGUGGGGGAACUUUGCUGCCUGUACCUACUGUGGGAGAACUCUGCUGUCUGUACCUCCUGUGGGUUACCUCUGCUUCCACUUAUACCUACGAUAUUAAUAAAUUCACAUGGCAGAUUGAUCCGGAUGGAGAAGAAAAGGAAAGAGGAUGCUGCUGAUCAGAAAACAUGUAAUUCAUGAGGAGACCACAUGGCGGUAGAGUGACACAGCCUGGAGAUGGCAGCAGCAAGAGGAGGCCAUAUAGUGGCUGAAUGACACAGCCUGGAGUUUGAAGCAGCAAGAGG